GGGGUAAAUUAAUAAUUUUAAGGUUAAUAAAAAAAAUUUUAAUAUUAAAAAGAAAAAAUGGGGGUUUAAGUAUUUUUAAUAGAAAAAAUUAAUAUUUUUAUAGUUAAAUAUUACUGUAAAGGAAUUUAUAAAUAAAUGAAAUAAAAUUAAUUAAAAAGUAAAUUUUAAUUGUUGUAUCUUGUGUAUCAGAGUUUAUUAAAUAAUAAUAGUUUAUUUAAAUAAAUCUCGAAUUUAAAAGAGUUAAUUAAUUAAUAAAGUUAAUGUUGAAUAAUUAUUUUAAAUAAUUAAUUAGAAAUGAAAUGUUAAUCGUUUUUAAAUAUAUCUAGUUUUUUCAGAAAAAAAUUUAAUUUUAAAUUUAAAUAAUUUUAUAAUUAUUUAAUUAAUUAUAAAAAUUUGAAUUUUAAUAUUUUAGGGGAUAAGCUUUAAAUUAAAAAUUUAUAAUUAAAUAAUUUAAAAAUUAAAAUUUUUAAAAUUUAUAUUGUUUAAAAAUUAUAAUUUAUUAUAAAAAAUUUUAUUAAAAAAAAAAUUUAAAAUAAAAAAAUUUAAAUUUUUAUGAAAAAAUAGUUUAUAAUUAAAUAAAAUUAGAAAUAAUGAUGAAAUUAGUAUAAUAUAAUAAAUUAAAUUAAAUUUAUAAAUAAGUAAAUUGAAGGAAUUCGGCAAAAAUUUAUAUUCACUUGUUUAUCAAAAACAUGUCUUUUUGAUAAUAAUUUAAAGUCUAAUCUGCCCACUGAUAUAAAUAUUAAAGGGCUGCAGUAUAUUGACUGUACAAAGGUAGCAUAAUCAUUAGUCUUUUAAUUGAAGACUUGUAUGAAAGAUUUGAUGAAAUAUAAACUGUCUCUAAUUUAUUAUUAGAAAUUAAUUUUUUAGUUAAAAAGCUAAAAUAAUAUUAAAAGACGAGAAGACCCUAUAGAGUUUUAUAUUUUAUUUAUUUAAUAUUAAAUAUAUAAUUAAAUUAUAUGAAAUAAAUAAAAUAUUGUAUUGGGGUGAUAGAAAAAUUUAAUAAACUUUUUUUAAAAAAUGAACAUAAAUAAGUGAUUAAUUGAUCCAUUAAUAAUGAUUAAAAGAAAAAAUUACCUUAGGGAUAACAGCGUAAUAUUUUUUUUUAGUACAAAUAAGAAAAAAAGUUUGCGACCUCGAUGUUGGAUUAAGAUAAAAUUUAAAUGCAAAAGUUUAAAAUUUUGAUCUGUUCGAUCAUUAAAAUCUUACAUGAUCUGAGUUCAAACCGGUGUAAGCCAGGUUGGUUUCUAUCUUUAAUAAAAUAAAAUAUUUUAGUACGAAAGGAUCAAAUAUUUAAAAUAAUUUUAUUUAAUUGAAUAUUAAUAAUAUUAUUUU
rnacentral:rRNA from 1 species